CCUACGGGAGGCAGCAGUGAGGAAUAUUGGUCAAUGGGCGGAAGCCUGAACCAGCCAAGCCGCGUGAGGGAAGAAGGUACAGCGUAUCGUAAACCUCUUUUGUCAGGGAACAAAGCCGGGUACUUGUCCCCGGAUGAGGGUACCUUACGAAUAAGCAUCGGCUAACUCCGUGCCAGCAGCCGCGGUAAUACGGAGGAUGCGAGCGUUAUCCGGAUUUAUUGGGUUUAAAGGGUGCGCAGGCGGCCUGUUAAGUCAGCGGGAAAAGCCCGGGGCUCAACCCCGGCGAGCCGUUGAAACUGGCGGGCUGGAGUUGGAGAGAGGUACGCGGAAUGUGCGGUGUAGCGGUGAAAUGCUUAGAUAUCGCGCAGAACCCCGAUUGCGAAGGCAGCGUACCGGAUCCAAACUGACGCUGAGGCACGAAAGCGUGGGUAGCGAACAGGAUUAGAUACCCGAGUAGUC
rnacentral:rRNA from 1 species